rnacentral:rRNA from 1 species
UACGGAGGGUGCAAGCGUUGUCCGGAUUUAUUGGGUUUAAAGGGUGCGUAGGCGGCCCGUUAAGUCAGUGGUGAAAGCCUCCAGCUCAACUGGAGAACUGCCAUUGAUACUGACGGGCUUGAGUACAGACGAGGUUGGCGGAAUUGAUGGUGUAGCGGUGAAAUGCAUAGAUACCAUCAAGAACUCCGAUUGCGUAGGCAGCUAACUAGGCUGUAACUGACGCUGAGGCACGAAAGCGUGGGGAGCAAACAGG